rnacentral:lncRNA from 1 species
UGGAAGUAGGGAAGUUCACUUUUCCAUUUGAUGGUGCCACUUUGUAACAACCUCAAGGUCAGAACUGCCUUCUUCAGAUGACAUCGUAACUAUGGGUCUAGAGGGAGAUGAGCUGAUGACAUUCCUUCCUUAUAACUACUUCUUAGGGCCUCAUUCUGUAAGGAUGUUCGUCAAAGGCCCAGCUGGUCUCUUUGACAGAUGCUUUCAGUUGCUUUUCUUCUGUGUCAAUUCAAGGAUGAUGGCUUCUCUACUACUACGAAUGUUGAUGGACACACUUUGGGUUUUAUUACUUACAAUUCAAUUUCUCAAUGUACACUAAUGGGAAAGCCAGAAACAGUGACAACUAUACUUCCAGUGUCUGCUCUGAAUCAGCUGCAGUGUUUUCACACUGGCCUGAGCAGCCCAGACCUGCACACUACUACAGACUGCAAGAUUUAAGCCCAUGUACUUGAUCUCCUGUCAAUUGACCUUCAUUCACAUAAUUAUGGUCAUCACUGGAUGGGAUAUUUUUACUACAGAGAUAUUUGACUUACUGAACAUAGAGAAUGGCAUCAUAUGUAAGGCAACUUCUUACUUAAAUAGGGUGAUGAGAGGUCUCUCUAUCUGCAUCACCUACCUCCUGCAUGUGUUCCAGGCUGUGACGAUCAGUCCCGAUACCUCUUUGUUGGCAAAAUUUAAACAUAAACUAAAAAAAAUACAUGAUCUAUUCUUUCUUCUAUUUUUGAUCUUUCAAUUUGUCAUUCAGCAUUAACAGGAUCUUCUAUACUGAUGCUUAUACCAACAUGAGUGAGACCAACCAGUUGAAGGUCACUAAAUACUGCUCACUCUUCCCCAUGAACUACAUCAUCAGGGGACUGAUUUUAACCAUGACAACCUUAAGAGAUGUGUUUCUUGUAGGAGUCAUGCUGAGCACAAGCACAUACAUGGUGAUUAUCUUGUUCAGACAUCAGAGGCAAUGCAAGCAUCUUCAUAGCAAAAGCCAAUUGAGAGCAUCCCCUGAGAAAAGGGCCACCCAGACCAUCUUGCUGCUGGUGUUUUCCUAUGUGGUCAUGUACUGGGUGGACUUCAUCAUCUCAUCCUCCUCAGUCCUGUUAUGGAUGUAUGACCCAGUCAUACUUACUGUUCAGAAGUUUGUGAUAAAUCCCUAUCCCACAAUUACUCCUUUGAUACAAAUCAGUUCUGAUAACCGAAUAAGCAUUAUGCAAAAAAUAUGCCACCAGAUUUUUUAAAAAGUGUAAUUUUUCUCUUAUUUAGAAAAGAAUUUGCUUAUUUUAUUCAUAUGUAUUAGUUUUGGCCUGGCAUGUAUGCAUGUGUGCAUUCCUGGUAUUCACAAACGUCAGAUGAGGUCAUGGGAUCUCCUGGAUCUGGAAGUACAGAGUGUUGUAACGUGCCAUGCUGGUGCAGCACCAAUAAUUUUAUUCCCUAAAACACAAAUUUUUCUUUUUUUCUUAAGUUUACAUUAGUUUUAUUUCAGUUUACAAUUCCCAGGUCACACUCUAUCACUGAGAAAAGUCAGGACUGGCACUGAAAGAGAGGCCGGCGGAGGGAUGUUGAUUACUGGCUUGUUCAGCCUGCUUUUUUAUUCCCUCCCGUGUUCCCCUCUCCACUGCUUGCCCCCUGCUCUACUCACCCUACCCAUAUUUAUUUCAUAUAUGUGGGGACACUGUCACUAUCUUGAGAUACAGCCAAAAAUGGCAUCAGAUCCCAUUAGAGAUGGUUGUGAGCCCUCCUGUGGUUGCUGGGAAUUGAACUCAGGACCUCUUGUGGAGAAGUGGGUGCUCUUAACCACUGAGCCGUCUCUCUAGAUCCAGGUUUUUCUUAAACUAUAUAAUAGUUCAAGUAAUAAAGCAUGAUUCUUCAUAUGGUUUAAAUAGAAUUUGUAGUAUUAUACUUAUUCAUUCCUUUGACAUUUUUGCUGCCAAGAAGUAUAUGGUUCUUAAAUUCAUUAUACAUCAUAAAUUCAUAUCUCCACAGGAAUUCUCUUAGUCCUUCCUUUUUGCUCUAUAUCAUAAAUGUUCCCUUAAUUCUGAUGUUAUAUAAAAGAUGAUCCUUGCUGAUAGUGACUUUUUAAAAAAAUAUUUUAAUUUACUCUAAAUAAUCAAGAAUAUUUAAAAUAUUUGAUUGUACCUUUAACUCUGAUUCGUAAGUAUAAUUUCUAUGAACCCAUAAAAGUAAUGAGUUCAAAAUUUCCAGUUUUUACUACUAAUUAAGUAUUAAGUACUUAAUGAGUCUUAUAUGAAAUUAUCAUAUGCCUCUAUGUUUGUAUGUAACUUUAUUAACCCUUACUGAAAUAUUGAUAAAUAAAAAUUGUGCACAUAUGCAUACAUGAUGUAG